rnacentral:lncRNA from 1 species
ACUGGCACGAGGGUGAAAGUGAGGAGGGUUUUGACCAUUAGGUUCAUAAUCGAUACGAGCCACUGACACCCCAAGAGCGUUUUCUCCUGGUAAUUGAUCAACAUUUAUAAGAUUGACAAUUGAGCCCACAUAAUUUGAUGUGUUUCCUGGAAUAUUCAGCCCUUGAUACAAGAAAUCCUCGGCCACGGUCAGGUUUGGGUUCUUGCAGAACUUCCCAUUUACAAAUACUGCAUGAAGAAGGAAAAAAGAAAAGAUAUAUCAUUAGUAUCGAACCAUACUCACCAUAUCAAUAAAAAGAGAAGUACUGAAAAUAGCUAUAAGAUCAUUGGUUACUAUAGAAAUACCAGCAUUCUUGGGCUCAUCAACGGCAACACAGGUGUCUUCCAGUGGGCUUGGAUCAUAGGCAGAGGCAAGAAAGGAAGCCAAUGCCAUGAAGGCCACGGUUACCAGGAAACUAACGCUUUUCUUCAUUGUUAGAGUACUGUCUCCAACAAUCACAAUAUUUAUCUUUAGGCGGGGAUAAGAAAUUUAGCAUGGAAAAGAUGUUAAUUUAUAGACCAGAGUCGGUGAGUUAGUCUUUGCAUAAACUCACCAAGUCUUCAAUGGGAAGUUUUUUCUUCUUUCUUUUUUCACUUUCGAGGACAAGCGGUUGCACCAAUACAUGUUGAUUUACGUAGGAUUAGUCAGUAUACAGAUCUUAACCAGAAUAUAAAGCAAUGUACAAUCAGGUGGAGGCAGGUCCAAUUUAAUAUCAAUCUGUAUGAUCCAUACGUUUACAUAUAUAGUAGAGCUUUCUGCUCUUUUAGUAGUGUAUGGACAAGCAAAUAGAAGAUUACAGAGUAGGUGCCAGCUUGGACUAUACAAUGACCCACCCCUAUCAAACAUGGUUACUCCAUGAGACUUGUGUAGGUUCAGUUUAAUGAGUAUUUAUAUAGCUUAAUUCACCAUUCGAAGUGUUGAGAGAUUGGCUGAUGAGAUUGAAUAUGUAGCCAAGUUCUGAGUUUCUAGCUCAUGUGCCUUCCACUGAGUGAAAAGUCCUUGGAUAAGCUCUGGGGUUGCCUCAGUUCAAUGAAAAAUUGGGAUAAAUUCAAAGACUUUCUGCUAUAUGCUCACUAGGCUUUCCUCAGUUACAAAAGCUUUGACUAUGAUUUUUAUGCUUGCAGCCUUCCCUGUCUGAGCGGUUGGCUCAAAAGUUACUACUACAAUUAUUAUGGUUUGUGAGAGAAAGAGAUCUUAACAAACACCUUUAAACUAAGACUUUUUAAUUAGUCGUCUUUAACAAGCAAGUCUGUAUUUUCUGGUGAGAAGCAAGAAACCUUACAUUAGCAAAAUACCAAUUAAUUAGAUGAAGUCCUUCGGCUAAUCUAUGCCCUAUAAGUAAGGUAAUUAAGCAGAUCGAUACACUUUCCAAAUCUUCAAUGGAUGUCAUUUUUCAAAUUGAAAGGUUGAACCAUUCUGAGAAUUUUCAAAUUGGACAGGCCAUCUGUAAUCAGAUUGUGAUUAGUGUCAUGACCCAUUAGAUCUUUAUAAGAAGUUGGGGUUAGAGGUUUGUUCACAGUGGAUGUCAUGAGAUUUCUGGGCUUUCAUUUCCAUUCUUUCCUCACUAUUUCAUGACACUGAUGCUUCUCCCACCAUUCAUAUGGUUUGACUCGGACAUCUUAAUUAGUUUUUUCGAUCUCAGUUGAUGGGGGCCGGUUAUACUGGGAUAAUCUAGAGAAGCAAAUUAAUGGCAUCUUUCCAUUAUUGGAUUAUAUGAGGUUGUUGGCCAUGGUUCAAAGUCAUGGUAUCGGACACCAACUCGGUAAGUCUUGAGGCACAUGGGUCUCAACGUCGCAGAUCAAUAUCGGGUGAUACACAAAAAAUUAUAGUUUAAAAGCCCAAAACAAUUUAAAAAGAUUACAAAAAUAAAUACAAAUAAAUGAAGUUAAAAAUUAAUAAAAUAAACUUUUAUUAUAUAUAAAAUUAUUCAAAUUAUGAUAAAAACAUACCUUCGUAAUGAUUUAUAAAAAUAUAAAAAAAUUAAUUUAAUCACUUAAUAUUAAAUAUGCAUUAUUAAAGAUGAAAAUAAUAAAAAGUGAAUUUAUUGUUUAUAAUUUUUUUUAAAUUAAAUAUUUUAAAUUUUUAAAAAAUAUUUUCAAUAUUUUAAAAAAUACAUCUAGGAAUCAUCUUUGAAAAAAGUAAACAUCAUUUUUCUUAUCAAAUAUAUACUAAAUGAAACAAUUAUAAAAAUGGAGAAUUUUUAUUUGAAUGAGCAUAUUUGAAUAUAAUAUAUUUUUUCUAUACAUCUAUUCAUUUUAAUUGACUUUUUAUAUUAAUAUUUAUUUUCUAUUUUAUUUAUGUAAACCUAAAUAUUCAUUAUUAAUUUACCAUUAUCCUAAACCCAUCAAAUUUUCAUUAUCCAUUUAAAUACAAUUAUUCACCACAUAUUCAUUAACUACUUAUUUGUAAUCCUAUCAAAUACCCAUAAACCAUUCACCUCGCAAACACGUAUUUCCUUUUUUUGCACAAUACCCAUUUCCCCUCUAAAACAACACUUUGAGCUCUCUACUUCUUUGCACAAUACCUAUAUUUGAAGGCUAAAAAAAUAACCCCAUGAAGAUACAAGAGGAUGGAGAUGCAAAUAGAAGGAUGAAGAUGCACAAGGUUUGAAGACUCUAAACUCUCCAUACUUCUUCACUUUCAUGAGUUUUGAUUAUCUUCUCUUAUCCACCAUUUCUGCUCCAAUAUUACUAUUUUUUUUCCAUCACCCAUCACCCAUCACCCAAAGAGAUUAGUUUGAAUAUAAUAUUAGGGUUAUCUCAAAGUUUCUUUGUGAUUUAACAAGUUUAUUCAUGAGUCAACCAAAUAUUGGACUCAGGAAUCAGUCCAAUACGGUUCAUGAGCUCUUUAUUUAUUUGUACAAUACCCAUUUUUGAAGGCUCACAACACAACCCUACAAAGAUACAAGAUGAUGAAGAUGCAAAUACAAGGAUGAAAUGCAAAGGGUUUGAAGACUCUGAACUAUUUAUAUUUUUUCACUUUCAUGGGUUUCGAUCUUCUUCUCUCAUCCACCAUUUUCGCUACAAUAUUACUAUUUUUUUCCAUUACCCAUCACUCGAAAAGCUUAGUUUGGACACAAUCUUUAGGUUAUCUCAAAGUUUCCAUGCGAUUCAACAAGUUUAUUUCAUUAGAUAACCAAAUAUUGGACUCAGAUAUCAAUUCGAUACCGGUCAUGGCCAAGACGGAUGUAACUCAGUCGAGUCAAACUAGUCUUGACUAAGAUUUUGAACCCCAUUUGAGCUCUCUAUUUCUUUGCAUGUACAAUGCCCAUUUUUGAAGGCUCACAAAAUAGCCCUAUGAAGAUACAAGAGAAUGGGGAUGAAAAGGGUUUGAAGACUCUGAACUCUUCAUACUUCUUCGCUUUCAUGGGUUUCGAUCUUUUUCUCUCAUCUACCAUUUCUACUCCAAUAUUACCAUUUUUUUUCCAUCAUCUACCACCUGAAGAGCUUAGUUUGGAGAUAAUCUUGGGGUUAGCUCAAAGUUUCUUUGUGAUUUAACAAGUUUAUUCAUGAGUCAACCAAAUGUUGGACUUAGGUAUUGGUUCGACACCAAUCAUGGCUAAGGCGGAUAUGACUGAGUUGAGUCGUACAAGUCUCGAUCAAGAUUAUGAGCCCUGUUUGAGCUCUCUAUUUCUCUACACAAUACCCAUUUUUGAAGACUCACAAAAUAGCCUUAUGAAGAUACAAGAUAAUGGAAAUGCAAAUAUAGGUGUAGGACCUCAGGCGCUACCAACUCUCCUAAAAGCAAUUGCUGUUAGGAAAGACGCAUACCCUAACCUUAUAGUGCAUUCACCCAAGCGCCCAUGGAGAACACAAGGGGAGUUUAUGGAUACGACCAACCUUCCGAUCUAUCAGCAAUCUCCCAUACCACUUGUAGGACCUCAGACGCUACUAACUCUCCUAAAAGCAAUUGCUGUUAGGAAAGACGCAUACCCUAACCUUAUAGUGCAUUCACCUAAGUUCCCACGACAAACAUAAGAAGAGUUGAUGGACGCGGCCAACCCUCUGAUCUGCCAACAAUAGGGAUGAAAAUCCAAAGGGUUUGAAGACUCUGAACUUUCCAUAUUUCUACACUUUCAUGGGUUUCGAUCUUCUUCUCUCAUCCACCAUUUUCACUCCAAUAUUACCAUUUUUUUUUCUAUCAACCAUCACCCAAAGAGCUUAGUUUGGACAUAUUCUUAAGGUUAUCUCAAAGUUUCUUUGUGAUUUAGCAAGUCUAUUCAUGAGUCAACUAAAUAUUAGACUUGAGUAUCGAUCUAGUACUGGUCAUGGCCAAGGCAAAUAUGACUCGGUCGUGUCAUACCAAUCUAGAUCAAGAUUUUGAACCUUAUUUGAGCUCUCUAUUUCUUUGUACAAUACCCAUUUUUAAAGGCUCACAAAAUAACCCUAUGAAGAUACAAGAGGAUAAAGAUGCAAAUAUAGGGAUGAAGAUGCAAAAGGUUUGAAGACUCUGAACUCUCCAUAUUUCUUUGCUUUCAUGAGUUUAACUCUUCUUCUCUCAUCAACCAUUUUUGCUCCAAUGUUACCAUUUUUUUCACCAACCAUCACCCGAAGAGCUUAGCUUGGACAUAAUCUUUAGGUUAUCUCAAAGUUUCUUUGUGAUUUAGCAAGUUUGUUCAUGAGUCAACCAAAUAUUGGAUUUAGGUAUCAGUCUGAUACCGAUCAUGGUUGAGGUAGAUAUGACUCGGCUGAGUCUUACCGAUUUCGACCAAGAUUUUGAACCCUGUUUGAGCUCUGUAUUUCUUUGCACAAUACUAAUUUUUGAAGGCUUAUAAAAUAACCUUACGAAGAUACAAGAUGAUGGAAAUACAAAUACAAGGAUGAAGAUGCAAAGGGUUUGAAGAGUUUGAACUCUCCAUACUUCUUGAUUCGUUCCCAAUUGGUGUCUCAGCUGAUUCAUGUCCAGCUGGUGCUCUUUGAUUGAGAGAGUAAUCAACAAAAUUUAUAACCUAUAUCACUAUGCAUUAGGAUAGCUUUAGCUAAUAUAGCAUAGUGGCUCUAGGAUCGUUCACUGGGAAGGGUUUUCAACUCACAACUGAUACCAAUUCAAAGUUAAAUUGGUACUUUUUCAUUUCAAGGUUAGCUUAAGAAAAAAACACAAACUUUGUUUAAAUGAGGUUUUGUUUAAAGGUAACUAAAAAGAAAGUAAUGGAAAUUACUUAUGAAGAAAAACAUUCCUUGGAGGUUUAGGUUCACAGGGGAGGUUUCUUAUGCAAAAACAGAGCUCCGGUCAUUUGGUUCAUUUCCUCGCAUUAGAGAAUUAACAUAUAGUCAAUUCUCUAACCGGUGCUGCACAGAUGUAUCCUUUAAAUGGAUUUCAACUCUAAUUCCCUCUCACUGAUGCAACUUGCAAUGGCUCGUGCCUCUCACCUAGCAUUUUCCAUUCAAUGUGAUCUUUAACUUUGGACUUCUCUUCUCAAGCUCGCAAGAGAUAACUAACGGAUGUCUCCUUGGAGUCCAAAAGCUUACCAAGUGUUGGCAAUUCUAGAAAAUCCUACCUCCAAGUCACUUCCCAAAAGCCCGCAAGAGAUAAACAAGUGCAUCUCCAUGGACGGAGAUCACGUGCCUUACCAAGUGUUGGCUUAAGUGAAUUGAAGGUAUUUUAAGUUAACUAAAAACAUAUAAAUCAUUAAAGGAUCACACUUUCUCUUCAUUAAUGACUGAAACCACAAAGCUACUAAUUCUUGCACUUGGAACCUUUCCCGGCAACCUUAACUCCAAGGAACUAAAAGUCUAGCCACUCAUUCUAUGAGGAAACUUCCUCAGAGCUUGUUUGGCUAGUAAGAAAACUAACGAGAAAACAAUUAUAUGAAGGAAAAACAGAGCAAGUGCUCUAUAAAAUAUAUUUCUUUUUUCUGCCGAUUACAUAAUAUAUCUUUGUAAAGAAAAUUACAAACUAUAUAUAUGAGGUUAUUCACCCUUUGUACUUACUUAAAGACUAAGGAAUCCUAUGAUAGGUGGGUUACAAGGAGACUUUGGGAGGUGGGUUACAAGGAGACUUUGGGGAUUUAGACAACAAAUAUUUAAAGCAAAAUAUCUCAGGAUGUCGGUCGGAAAUAUCAAGAAGCUUCAGGAGAACACCGUGGCACUGUAUACUGAGAGAAAAACUCUCCUGGUAAGCGCUAUCAGAGGAUCCGGAUAAGUUUGACCGGAGAAGUUGAAACGUCCUCCUCUCCCAUCCGGCUGCGAGAUAUCCAGAUGUAAAAUGUCGGCGCACAGAAUUCCGGAUGUGAAAUGUCGACGCACGGAAUUCCUCCCCUGGUGGACUAAGCUAUGUUGCGCAAGGGGGACCGUCUGCGUGUGCAAGGUGUAGGGACCCCUCUCCCGGAUGACACGGAAUGCGCAAGGCUAUCCGGAUCAACUCCAUCCGGAUUCCCCAAGAGGACAUGUGGCGUGCUCCCCUAUUCAGACUCCCUCAGGUUGAAGCACACAGCACUCGUGAUCAUCACACCCGGACGAUAGCAUAUCCUAUCCGGAUAUGUUGUCCGGAUCAUUGACUUCCGCCGUCAUCCGAUGGUGUGUCCGGACAUCUUUUACUCCUUGCAUUCCAGAUUUGCUUAUGGAAAAGAACCUCAAAGCUUUGGUUCUUCAUAUUUCUGAGCUUUCCAUUGCUUUGCCAUGGAUUCCAAAGAACUCUCCUCAAUCACGGAUUGCUUUGGUGAUAAAAAAGCUAUCAAAACACCAAAACUUAACACAAUUUGAUUAGAAUUGAUUGCAAGGGUCCUUAAUAUGUUAAUUGGGUUAAAAUGUGAUAACUACUACUCAAAAGUGUUUAAAAGAGUUUAUUACAAGCUAUCAAAUAGCACUUUUUGAGUAGUAAUCACUUCUUCACUACCAUGGGUUUCGAUCUUCUUCUCUCAUCCACCAUUUUCCCUCCAAUAUUACCAUUUUUUUUCCAUCACCCAUUACCCGAAGAGCUUAGUUUGGACAUAAUCUUAGGGUUAUCUCAAAGUUUCUUUGUGAUUUAACAAGUUUAUUCAUGAGUCAACUAAAUAUUGGACUUGGGUAUCGGUUCGAUAAUAGUCAUGGCCUAAGAUUUUGAACCCUUUUUUAGCUCUCUAUUUCUCUGCGCAAUACCCAUUUUUGAAGGCUCACAAAAUAACCCUACAAAGAUAUAAGAUGAUAGAGAUGCAAAUACAGGGAUGAAGAUGCAAAGCGUUUGAAGACUCUGAACUCUCCAUACUUCUUCACUUUCAUAGGUUUCGAUUUUCUUCUCUCAUCCGUCAUUUUAGCUCCAAUAUUACCAUUUUUUUGCAUGACCUAUCACUCGAAGAGCUUAUUUUGGACAUAAUCUUAGGGUUAUCUCAAUUUUUUAUUUUAUUUUUGUGAUUCAACUAGUUUAUUCAUGAGUUAACCAAAUAUUAAACUCGGGUAUUGGUCUAGUACCGGUCAUGGUUGAGGCGGAUAUUACUCGGCCGAGUCGUUUUGAUCUCAACUGAGAUUUUGAACCCCAUUUAAGUUCUUUAAUUCUUUUCACAAUACCCAUUUUUGAAGGCUCACAAAAUAACCCUACGAAGAUACAAUAUGAUGAAGAUGCAAAUAUAGGGACGGAGAUGCAAAUGGUUUAAAGACUUUGAGCCCUCCAUAUUUUUUCACUCUCAUGGGCUUCGAUUUUCUUCUCUCAUCCACCAUAUACGCUCCAAUAUUACCAUUUUUUCCAUUACGCAUCACCCGAAAAGCUUAGUUUGGACAUAAUCUUAGGGUUAUCUCCAAGUUUCUUUUUUAUUCAACAGGUUUAUUCAUGAGUCAACCAAAUAUUGGACUUGGGUAUUAGUUCGGUAUUGGUCAUGGCCGAGGUGGAUAUGACUUGGCCGAGUCGUACCGGUCUUAAUUGAGAUUUUGAACCCUAACUGAACUCUCCAUUUAUUUGCACAAUACCCAUUUUUUUAAGGCUAACAGAAUAAGCCUACGAAGAUACAAGAGGAUUGAGAUGCAAAUAUAGGAAUGAAGAUGAAAAGGGUUUGAAGACUCUUAACUCUUUAUACUUUUUCACUUUCAUGGGUUUCAAUCUUCUUCUCUCAUCCACCAUUUUUGCUCCAAUAUUACCAUUUUUUUCCAUUACCCAUCACCCAAAAAGCUUAGUUUGGACAUAAUCUUAGAGUUAUCUCAAAGUUUCUUUUUUAUUGAACAAGUUUAUUCAUGAGUUAACCAAAUAUUGGACUCGGGUAUCGAUCCAAUACCGAUCAUGGCUGAAGCGGAUAUGACUCGAUCAAGUCGUACGAGUCUCAAUCGAGAUUAUGAACCCUAUGUGAGCUCUUUAGUACUCUACACAAUACCCAUUUUUGAAGUCUCACAAAAUAGUCCUACAAAGAUGCAAGAGGAUAGAGAUGCAAAUAAAUGGAUGGAAAUCCAAAGGGUUUGAAGACUCUGAACUCUCCAUAUUUCUUCACUUUCAUGGGUUUCGAUAUUUUUCUCUUAUCCACCAUUUCCACUUCGAUAUUACUAUUUUUUUCCAUCACCCAUCACCCUAAGAGCUUAGUUUGGACAUAAUAUUAGGGUUAUCUCAAAUUUUCUUUGUGAUUCAACAAGUUUAUUCAUAACUCAACCAAAUAUUGAACUCGAGUAUCGGUCCGAUAUCGGUCAUGGUGGAGGUAGAUAUGAGAACAACCAAAUAUUCAAUUUUUUUUUAAAUUUAUAAUGUGCAUUUACUACAAAGCAAUCUUUAAAAUAAAAUAAAACUACCAUUGAUAAUUAGGUUACACUUGACAGCAAUUUUAGGAAGUGUUUUUAAUCUUUCUAAUACUUGAAAAAUAACAAUAGUGGUUUUAAGAAACGUUUCUAACUUUUUUAAUGGACAAUUGCAAAUUAGGAAAUAAAUAUGUAAAUGGGUACCAAUUUUUCUAAAAGCUUUUAAACUUUUUUCUAUUUUGGGUUAUAAUGUGUAUCAUGUUAUUAACAAUAUUUUUGCUUUUAUUUCAUGUCAAAUAAUAUAAUUUUUAACUUUAGAAGAGUCACAAACAAUAUUUGUGUUUACCCUAAAAUGCUUUUUCCUCGUAUGCAUUUCAGGGUGUAGGGAUUCUCAUGGAAAAUACUUCCCAUGGCUGGCAUGGGAGUUGAAGAAUUGUUGCAUGUGCAGCCAAAGGUAAAAGAGGGAUUCAUGUGUUACCUGAAUUGCAUUUUAUCUGAUUUACAAUUUGAUUAUAUGUAUGUUUGUGCAGUCUGGUGCUUGUGUUGCUCAUUUCUAUAUGUGCUAAAUGGAGGAUUUCUUUUUCAUCCAAAACCCUAGUAUUGCAGGAGAUAGUUGCUUUAUGGGUCAGUCUUCUUACCAAAUCUUAACUCUAUGCUGACUUCUUUUUCUUUGAUUUCCUACUCUUUGUUCUGCAUAUGUGUUUUCAACCUAACUAUUUUCAUAGGGAUCAAUGGAAAUUAUGAUUUUUCAAAGAAUAUUGAAAGUAGAAGAAAAUUAAGCAUUUGUGAAAUAUGGAGGAGCAAAAUGAUUUCUUAGUUUUAGCACAUCAGUUUACAGAAGAUAUUGUAAUUUCACAUGAUGAAAAUGAAGAGGGGAACCCAGAUUUCCAAUGGAGGGACUUUUUGGGCUUGGGGGACUAGAAAUGCAAGAUAUAAGUGCAAAUAUUGGAGUUACCCAACCAUAAAUCUGUCCGAAAAACUCGCUUUAAGGGGAGGAUGUUCCUCAUACACAAGAUGGAUUUAGCAUGGGGAUAAUUAGAUCCUAGAUGUUUGUAAGACUCAAUUCUAUCCAGUUUGCGUCCUUUUGGGGCUCCAUCAUGUGGGUUCUUUCCCCUUUUCGGUCAUCUUAAACUGGCUCUGAUGGUUGUUCGAUUGGUAACUCCGAAAGAUCAGAAUAGCUGUAUCUGCUAAGAUAAUGGAUGAAAUGAUAUGCUAACUUGGCAACUCGAAAAUAAUGGCCCGUGUCUUCCUCCUAUUAGGGUAUAUUGAAUUCUAAUUCAAGAAAAUUUUGCAGUAUUCAGGGUGGAAGCAGAUCACUUAAUCUUUUGUAGUAGGGAUUUAAGAGGUUUAGGCAGAUGCUUGAAGGUUUAUUCAUACUUAUUGUGAAGCAGAUCAUCUGGAAAACUGGGGAGUUAUCAUGCUGAAGACAUUUUUCUCCUUAUUGAAGUUUUCCAAACAAACCCUUCCAUCUAGGGUGAAUUAUUGGUUUCAUUUGGCUGAGUAGGAGAUUUCAGAUAGAAGCCAUCAAUCCUGGUCCUCAAGGGUGGAGUGGUAUGAUUACCAUCUAUGUAAAGACUUUGAAAUUUUUUUGUCAUUAACAAGCAUUUGUUGAUAAAUUUGCUUACCAUCUUCCACAAAUGAAAUUAUGGUUUUGAGUGUAUAAUUAUAACUGCUUAUGAUGAAAGGGAAAAACACCGACAAAGGACUCACUGGUUUUUUCUGCACAAAUGGGAGCAAUCUGUUAUUCUGGUUUCUUAUUACACACAAGCAAAACGAUCAUUUAUAGUUGUAAAUAGAGAGCUCUUCUUCUUACCUAGACUGAAAGUGACGGAGGUUUACUAUUUUAAGUUCAGUGACAUGUCCACAUUUUCUUCCUUUGCCUUACGAAGUGUUUCAAAUCCCAUUUCUUUCCAGACAUUCUUUAGCCUUUGAGCAACCGAAGAGAUAAGGGGACGCUUUUGGGGGUUCUCUUCUGUGCACAUCAUCCCUGCAUCGAGCAUGUGGAUACAGCAUUGCUCAAGCUUAUGUAAAGCACCACUCCCCUCUUCCAAAUAUGCUUCGUGCUUCAGUGAGAUGUCUACAAUAUCCAAAACUUGAUUUGGAAAAGCAGAACACACCCAUUUCCUUAGAUCAAGUCCAUCUGAAAACAUUUCAUUCGUUGGUCUCUUCCGUGUUAUCAUCUCUAACAUCAUCACUCCAAAACUGUAUACAUCUCCUCUUGUUGAGACAUCGAUCCCCUGCCCAUAUUCUGUGUACAAGCAAUAGGAACUAUUAGCUGAAUCACUGUACUUUUAUUUAUAUCCCUUCAAAUUAGGAUAGUCUGUUUAAAGAAAGAGACAUGGAUAGAUGCAGUUGGUUCAUAUUAACUAUCUGAAUAUCACAAGAAUGCAAGCAUCCUUCUUUUUCAUUUAGAUGUAAAUGCUUCUCAUUGGAAAAGCGAUUAGGAAACUAUCUGAAUAUCACUGUACUUAAAGAAAAGCGGGAGAAUAACCAACAAGACAUACCAUGUUGUUAAACAAAUUUAUCAUAAUGGUAUAUGAGGAAACACACAAAACCCUAUUUUUUCUUCUCGACUUCUAUCCUAUUAUUAACAGUUAGUUCUCUAGAAUAUAUGACCAUUGGGUAGGCAGUCAAAUGAAUGAAAACUAGACUAGUUUGAAGUUCAUGUGAGAUGAAAGAUUGGCAUUCAUGAUUAAAAGUAAUUAUCUAGUCUGAUAACUUAUCAUUUACUUCUCAGAUUUGAAGGUAGGUCGCUAACUUUUCCAAGAAGAUUCAAAGGGAUUAUGAAGCAUAGGAUUGAAGAUUUAUAUAAGGUAAUCAAAUGCAUACCUGGGGGGAUAUACCCGACAGAUCCUCGUAGAAAAGCAGUUGUGGUAGUAACAUGUCCUCUUGGUUUGUCACCUGAAAUGAGCUUUCCAAUACCAGAAUCUCCUACAUGAGCCACCAUAUCAUUGUCCAAAAGAACAUUUUGUGGUUUCAGGUCACAGUGUACAACUUGAACAGGACAACCCUCAUGAAGAUACUCCAAGCCAUUUGCAACAUCUAUUGCUAUUCCCAUUCUUUCCCUCAAUUUUAAUUCACUACCUCCUUCAUCUGACCCACCAGGGUAAAGAUGCUGUUCCAAGUUCCCAUUGCCUAUAUACUCGAGAACAAUAGCCUUGAAUCCUGAAUUCCAGGUCGAUCCUAUCAUUCUAACCAGAUUCCUAUGUCUAAUUUCAGACAGUAUUUGACACUCCCUUUUAAAACUUCUGUAACCCUGAACACGCUCUUCUUGCAGAACCUUAACUGCCACAACAGUUUUUCCAUCAUUGAUGAUAGCUUUAUACACCCUACCAAAACUUCCUUCCCCUAAUAGAUUAGCCUCAUCAAAACCGCCAGUAGCAAUUUCGAUUUCCCUUUCAGUUAAAGUUUGGGUUCCAUGAUGGGUUGGGGAAUACAUUAGAAUUGCAGUCUCCGCACCUGCACUCCUAUUUUUGAAGAAGAAACGACGAACAGUGAGGGCGAUCAGCACAAAGAGAAGCAGAGAACAAGUUAAUAUUGCAAACAGGUAAUAAAUCCAUUUCCUUUUCUUGUGCUUUUGUUUCAGAAUUUCACAUGGAUGGAGACCCAUAAGUUUGGUGCCACCACAGAGCCCCAUAUUCCCCAUGAAUGAGCUGCUUCCUAGAUUUUUAUACCUCCCACUAUUUGGAACCUCUCCUGUUAAUCUGUUAUACGAUAAAUUGAGAUUCUUGAUCUUCUGGCUGUCACCAAUCCAGAUUGGAACAUUUCCUGUUAAAUUAUUGAAAGCCAAGUCCAGAUAUCCUAGAUCAAUGAUUUGCUUCAGGGACUCUGGGAUUGUACCUUCAAGCAUGUUGUGAGAGAGGUUCAGAUACUCCAUUGAAAUGCAUCUUCCAAUCGAACUUGGUAUCACUCCGAAGAAUUUAUUCGCUGACAAGUCAAUUGCCAGCACAGAUGCCAGAUUUCCAAUACUAGCAGGUAGUUCUCCUUCAAGAUUGUUGUUCGAAAGGUUGAGUGAAAGAGCCAGGUUUGAGAAAUGACCAAUUUCUGUGGGAAGAGACCCUUGUAAGUUGUUAAAAGACAAAUCAAGAAGCAUUAGAAGAGAACAUUGGGUGAGUUCGAUGGGAAUUUUCCCUGUGAGGUGGUUGUGAGACAAGUAAAGAUAUCUCAACUGUGACAGAUUACCAAGAGAAGAUGGGAUUGUCCCACUAAUCAAAUUAUCACUAAGUUCCAGUAAACCAAGGUUAGCCAUCUGCCCAAGUUCAUCUGGAAUUGGCCCAAGAAGUUUGUUUCUUCCCAAGUGUAAUCUCUGCAACUGCCUAAGCUUCCCAAUUGUUGCAGGAACUCCAUUCAAAAAAUUAUACCACAGGUCUAGAGUCACAAGGCCGCUUAGAUUUCCAAUUUCAGCUGGUAGGUCUCCUGUUAAUUUGUUGUUUCGAAGAUUCAAGUAGUAGAGAUCUUUGGAAAGACUGCCAAUUGAAGCCGGUAAACUUCCUGCAAACAGACAUGCCCCUAAGUGCAGUUUCUGUAGACGUGAACAAUUAGUGAGAGGAGUUAGAAAACUGAGGGAAGAGUUGUUGGAACCGCUCACCAGGUUAUUGCUAUGAAGGUAAAGUCUCUCAAGUUUCUUCAACUUCCCCAACUCAGGAGGGACUUCCCCCUCUAACUGGUUGAGGCUAAGAUCAAGCAGUGUCAGCUGAGAAAGAUUGGACAGGGUCACUGGAAUUUUCCCAGAAAGUUGGUUUUCUUGGAAGUACAAUCUCUGCAAGUUAUGGAGCUUUGACCCCAAUUCGAAAGGGAUUGUUCCCGUUAACCGAUUCUCAAUCAGUGUAAUGUGACGCAGGGCAGUGCAAUUACUGAUGGAUGCAGGUAUGCUUCCUUCCAAAAAGUUGAUGUGGAGGUACAAUAUCUCCAGCUUUGUUAAUGCUCCUAGCUCCUCUGGAAUCCUUCCUGUGAAGUAAUUAACUUGCAAUUCUAAAUCUGUCAGCUUUGUCAGAUUCGAAAGAAACGAUGGUAUAGCUCCAGUGAGGCUGUUCUCAGAGAGACAAAGGUAUGUCAAGUUUGUCAUUUGGCCUAGUACAGCAGGAAUGCUUCCAGUCAGAUUGUUAUAGUCCAAGUCUAUUGUCUCCAGGCUCCAGCAGCCUUGUAUUGAGGCUGGAAUAUUGCCCCCAAGCUUAUUACCACUCAUGUUUAUGAAUGUUAACUCAGAAAGCUCUCCAAUGGUAGCUGGGAUCUCUCCAUACAAGCUGUUGGCUUGCAAAGAGAGGGUGGUGAGAUGGGAUAGAUUGGAUAUGUAUGGUGAGAUAACUCCCUGUAAGCGCAUGUUUAUGAGCUCAAUGGCUAUGACCCGGUUCUUAAGUUGCUGGUGGCAUGUAAUCCCUGUCCAGUUGCAGAAGAACCUGGUUUCAUUCCAAUCUUGGAGAUGACCAUCUGGAUCACCUGUUAUGCCUUGUUUGAAUUUGAGCAGAGAUUGACAAUCAGUGGAGUUUUUGCAGAGGAAUGUGGAAGUUGAUAGUAGAGCAAGACAACUAAGAGAGAAAAACACUGCCACAGCAACGGGAUUGUUCUGAUUGUAUGCCAUUCUCUCUCUCUCUCUCUCUCAGUGUGUGUGUACAGCUUUUGGAAUUCGAUGUUAGAUUUCAGGCCAAAAGUUUUUUUUCUCACUUGUUAGGUAAGAUGGGAUGAACAAUCAAUUUUCUUAAAAGUUUAAACUUAACGUGUAUCAUACUUUUCAACACUCGACGGGAUCAAUGGUAGAAGUUUAAAUAGAUGGGCUCAGUUGCUCAAAUGGUUCAGACAACUUGGCCUAGUGAGGGGCAGGUGGUGAGCCCUCAUUUAUCACUGGGACCAUAGAGCAAGACUUUUUGGUAUUGCCAUCACCUGUCUUAACUUCAUUCAACCUCUUCAAUGCUGUUUGACAUUUUCUUCCGUGACAGAAUUAAUAGCUAUGCAGUUUCCCAAAAUUUGCUCCGAACCCAUUGUCAUUUUUUUUUCUUCAUAUUUUAUAUUUUGUAUUUAUUUAUUUUUAUAUUAUUAUCAUUUAUUAUUUAUUUUAUUUUUCUUUCUUUUUCUUUUAUUUAUUUUAUUUUCUUCUUCCUUUCUUCCUCCAUGCAUGCACUACCAUUGUCACUUUUUUCUCUUUCUAAGGAUUUGCAAUUGACUCUAUUGAUAUUUUGUUGGUUGAGCAUGGAUUUAUGACUUAUAACACACACAUGGAAGGUUGAAUUUCAUGAAAGAAAAUGAGGGUUAGAAAAAUAAUAAAUGGGAAACAUUGAGCUUAUUGUGGGUUUGAUUUGGUACAAAUUCUUUUGUAUAUAUCUACUUGGGUAUACAAUUGAAUAUUUAAUUUAGGAAAAUUCAAAAAAUUGUUUUCAAUGAAAUUAAAAAAAAAAAUUAAUAACAAUUGCCUGGAAAUUUAUUUAUUUAAUAAACAUUGUUUUGUCAAUAAAAUUGUCAUCAAAGUUAAUUUUUAAUAAAAUUAUCUAAAAAAGUGAAUUUAUAAAUGAAAUUCUAUUUCCUUAAUUUAAAUGGGAUAAAAAGUAAUUUUUGUAAAUUAAAGUCUUAAAUAAUUUUUUCAUAAUAAUAGAACGAGAAUCUUUUUAGCAAAUUGAACUUAUACAAAUUAUUUUCUUUUCGUAAAUAAAGUUUGUAAAGAAAUUAUUUUCUUUAUAAAUAAAAUCAAAAUGAAAUAUUUUUACAACUAAAAGAAUAUUUAAUUGAGCAAGUGAUGAACUAUUUGCUUGUUUAAGUAACCUUUUGAAAUGUUCCCUCAGCAUAAUGGUAGUACAAUAAGAGGGUUUAUUAUGUACUUCUUUCUAUAUGGACUUUGGGUAUAAUAAAAACAAUGCUUUCUCUCUCUCUCUCUCUCUCUCUCUCUCUCUCUCUCUCUCUCCCCCUAGUCCACAGGUUUACACCCUCAGCUUUACCCUGGACUAAGUCCUGAAACCCAAAGAUUAUGCAGAAUCAAACUCUUAAAGUCUACAGCAUGAGUUGAAGAAAAAAGGAUGAGUAUUUAAUGUAGUAGUUGAGGAAUGAUUCAAUGUUUGAAAUAUAAAAAAUGCAAUCCAUUGAACACUUAGCUGGACUAUCUGCUUAUUGUAUACAUAAAACAUAGACUAAUCCGAAGACUUCUAUGUUAUAACUUUAGAAUUUUCAUAUCCAAGGUUUUCACUUCUUUCUCAUCAGAAGACAAAGAUUGUAACUGUUGCAGAAAACCUAACAACCUAGUUUAUUUGUUAAGGUCCCUUUCUCUCAUAAGACAUAAAUAUAUUCACUAUCAAACACCAUAAUGAUAAUAAUAAUGAUCUUCUUUUUGCUGUAUAUACACUACUUUAGAGUUUGUUCAAUGUUUGGUUACCAAGAAAACAGAAGGACUGAUCUGCUGCAUUAAAAGGUUAAGUAAUCCUGAAUACUUUCACUUCAUUUUGCCAUAUGUAGUUCUUCCAUUAGCUAGCCAUUUGGAACUAAAUCUUGUGGAGAACUUUUCAUAUUGGAGAUGGAUAUGAAAUUGGAUCUGCCUCCACCUCAUUGAACUUCACUUUCAACAUAUGCAUUGAGAAUAUUUAAGUUAAGAUCAGUAUACUAACUAACCCUACAUAAAUUAACAUGUAUUGGUGAAAACACUUAUCCUUGUAAGUGAGAAAGCAAAAAAAAAAAAAGAAAAAAAAAAAAGACCUACCCAUUGAAGACCAUCUAUAAAUUGACAUGUUUCUCAUGCAAAAAUUUUCACCCCUCACCUAAACACAAAGAUUUGUGAUUGUUUGGAGACAGUACUCUAACAAUGGAGAAAGGUGUUAGUUUCCUAGUAACUGUGGCCCUCAUGGCAUUGGCUUCAUCUUUUGCCUCUGCCUCUGAUCCAAGCCCACUGCAGGACACUUGCGUUGCCAUUGGGGAACCCAAGAAUGCUUGUAUUUCUUUAGUAACCAAUGAACUUGUCACUAUUUUCACUGAUCUUUCCAAUUCAAUAUUGGGCACAUUAAUGCAGUAGCCAUUGCUGGUCUAAGCAGCCAAAAUCCAGGUGUAAUCACCAUAUCCAAUGCAGUGUUUGGAUCAAAUCCACCAAUCAAUCCUGAUUUCCUGGCAACGGCCUUCCAGUUGGACAAGAAGGUGGUUGAAUUCCUUCAAGCACGAUUCUAGUGGGGAAAUAGAGAAAAUGAAGAAGCUAUGAACCUUUGAUUUGCUUGCUUGAAUGACUAUUUGUGAUGUUCAAUUACCUCAUUACAAUAAGAGGGGUUUAUUACUUUAUUUUGUAGCUCUUUUGGUGUGGACUUUGGUCCUAAUAUUAAAAUAAAGCAGUUUGUCUGUUAUGCAUCUUCUUCUGUCUCCAUCUCAAUAUUUGUCUUAAAAAAUCUUAUCUUGUGAAAAAACAACUCUCAGUUGAUUGAUUAACCUGCAUGUGCAGAAUGUUUAUUAAGAAUGAAUACUUAACUAGUUGUAAAACAGUACUACUGCUACUUCCAGCAUACUGCUGGCAGAAUUGGUGAUGAAGGAAUGAACAUUGAGGCAACAACUGCUGAGAAUUCAAAAAUAAAAAAGAUGCCAUUUUGCUUCUCUAUAUUUUCCCAUUAUAACUCAUCAACCGAGAUCGAAGAAACUAAUUAAGAUGUCCAAGUAAACCAUUUGAAUGGUGGGAGAAGCAUAAGUGUCAUGAAAAUUGUGAAGAAAGAAUGGAAAUGAAAACCCAGAAAUCUUAUGACAUCUACUGUAGACAAAUUAAUGUCUUAAAUAAUCUUUUCAUAAUAAUAGAACGAGAAUCUUUUUAGCAAAUUGAACUUAUACAAAUCAUUUUCUUUUCAUAAAUAAAGUUUAUAAAGAAAUUAUUUCCUUUAUAAAUAAAAUCAAAUUGAAAUAUUUUUGUAAAUAAAGUUCUAAAAAUUCAUUCUUUUUCUAGUAAAAGUAAGUCAAAAUAAUUUUUAUUGUCAAAUUGGAAUUUUUUGAAUAAAUUCUAUCCAAAUAAAAUUCAAUCAAAUCAUUUAUUGGAAAUAAAUAAAUAAAUUAAAAUCUUGAAAAAGUAAUAUUUAAAAUAUCUUUUUGUAAUCAAUUUAAUAAAUCGGGGUGUAUAAUUCUAAUGUCAUUUAUUUUGUACAUUUUUGUAAUUUAAUUUUAUAAUUAUUUUCUUGUAUAUUAAUUUGUGUCUUUAAUCUUGAUAUUCAUGAUUGAUCAAUUAACUGUCAUAAUUCAUUUUGUUUGUUUAGUAAAGAUUGUUAGUAUACAUGCUUAGAGGGGUAUUACCACUUAUUAUUGUACCUUUCUGAUAGACAACUUGACCCUUGAAUAUAGACUUGAUUUUACAGACAUGUCUUUUCUAAAUGAGGAUUUAUACAAAAUUUUCUUUCUUAUUUUAUUUUCUCUUUUAAAAAAUAAAUUAAAAUAAGUGGCAAUCCUAAUUUUUUUAUAUAAAAAAAAAAAAUCAAAAUUUCACAAUAAAAAUGAGUCUCACUGUCGAGUGGGAACACACGCAAAAAAUACGGGUCAACAUGUAUCCAAUUGAUUGGGGUCAAUGUCAAGAUGUAUGAUAAAGAUGCAAAAUUUGAAUAUGAAUCCUACCAUUGAUUGAAUCUUGAACUACCUGAUACUGGUUGUAACAAGUGAGAUAAGUUGCUAAGGUUUGCAUUGAAAUCCUCAAUUGAAAGUUACUAGUCAUCCAAAUAUGUAUAUAAAUCAAAGUGCACACAAUUGAUUUUCUUUCUCUUCUAAAUCCAAGAAAUCAACCUCCUUAAGCAAAAGACCUUAGAAUUCUUAGAGUGUGUUUGAUAGUGAUUUUAGGAAGUGUUUUUAACUUUUUUAAUAAUUGAAAAAUAAGAAUUUUGAAGUGUUAAAAAUGUUAGAAACGCUUCCUAAAAUCACUAUCAAACGCACUUUUAAUGUAAUUUGCUCUAUGUACCACUUGAUGUGGAUGUUAAGAUUGAUAUCCUUGGUCAUUGCCUAUAAUCCUAUAUCUAUAAUAGCAAGAAGACAUACAUUGAAACAUGAAUACCCUUUCACUAUGUUUGGUUUAUGGAAAAUACUAAGAAAAGAAAAUGUUCUGAAAAAUGUUUUUCUUAUAUUUAGUUUUAUUAUGAAAAAUAAGAAAAAAAUAAAAUAUAAUUAUAAUUAAUUAAAAUUUUAUGUAUUUUAAAAUUAUUUAAUAUUUAUAUAAUGAAGGAAAAUAAAUGAAACAAGCUUGAAAAAGUAUAUAAAAAUAAUUUAUUAAUUAUAACUUGUAUGCGACUAUUUUGUACUUUAAUCCCGUUUUUCUUUUAUUCUCUUGUAGGUACCUUGAUUUUAUAUAUUUGUAUCUUUAUUCGAUGAUUUAGAUUUCAUAUAUUUGUAUCUUUAAUUGAGAUUGCAAGAUCCGUACGGAUUCAGAUUAGGGAUGACAACGGUAUGGGCUUGAGGCAAGUUACUCAUAUCCCAAUCCAUUAUAUUUAUUCGUAUAUGUUAUCAUCCCCACCAAAAAAAGAAAUUAAAUGGGAAUAGGAAAUUCUCAUGCCUACCCCAUGCUAUCCCAUUAUUUAUUUAUUUAUUUUUCAAUUUUUAUUUCUAAAAUUUUAAGAAAAUUAAUAUUUUAAAUAUGUUAAAAAAAUUGAAAACUGAAAAAAGAAAUCAAUUAAAGAACUUUUUAUUUAACAUUAUACAUAAUUAGGCUGAGGUAGGAUGAAACAAACUCAUACCCAAAAUCACCCUGAAUCAAUCUUGGGUUUUUAAAAAUUUCUCAAAUUCAAGAUGAGACAAAAUCAUAUCCAAAACUAUCUCGAAUCCAUCCUAGAUUUUAAAAAUUUUCUCUAAUUUAUCUAAACUUUAUAUCAUUAUCUCAAAACGAGUACAUUAAGGGUAUGACAAGUACUAAAAAAAAAUUGGUAUAUUGUCAUCCCUAAUCAAGAUCCUAAAAUUUUUCUUUAUGAUAAUGAAAACAACAAUCAUAGUCGUCAUCUCUCUAUCAGUGUACUUUUUAGGUUUGAUCGAAUACACCUUAUGUGUUGCCUUUGGGGCAACCUAGCUCUCUCAAUCAUUGUCUAAAGUUCGGGUGUUUGUUUGUUUUAAUUUUUUUCGACUUUUUUUAAUACUAAAAGUAACUUAAUGACUUUUUUUUAACUUUUUAGUACUUAAUAAAAAUAAAAUAUUAAAAAACCAAAAACUGUGAUGUUUAAUACUUUUAAACACUAUAUAAUUUUAAGUUUUAUUCAAAAUUAAGUAAAAAAGAAAAAAAAAACACUCCUUUGAUGGUCAUCUAAAACUUUUAGGUCAAAGCUUGAUUUGGAGCUCAUUUAAACCUAACCCAAACUUCAACUAAAAAGACCUAUGUCCAACACAAUUAUUAGAGGUGUCCAAUGGGUCAUGUCGGGCCAACACAACCCAUGUUUAUCAGGCCAAUGCGUUGGCUCGACCCAUGCAAGCCAAAUAGGUGGCUUGACAUGGCCCAUAAACCCAUGGGCUAAUCAUGUCGUGUUGUGCCAUGUCGGUGAGUCGCCCCAUGGGCCACACACUUUAAUUAUUAUUUUUUAAUUUAUUUUGUCUUAAGUUUUUUAUUAUUAAAUAAAAUUUCUUUUUGUUACUUUAAACACCUCUAAUAAUUAUACUUUUUAUUUUUUAUAUUUAUAUUUAUCAAGUUUAUAACUGUAAAAUUUAUAAAAAUGUUAGUUUUUUGUUUUUAAAAAUAAUAAAAAGUGAUAUUUAAAGGGUUAAGUGGGCCAACAUGAUGGCACGACGGGUUGUUUCCUUAGGCCCACCACGACCCGCUCCUUUGGGCCAUGCCGGCCUGACUCGAUCUUUUGGCGCACUAGGCCACAGGCCAAAAUGGGUGGCUCGACCCAUUGGACACCUCUAGUAGUUACAUGUCUAGCAUCCAAACGGUAGACCAGGUGAGUUUUGUCAAACCCAACCCAUUCAUCCCCUUUGCUUCAUGUUGGCCACCCGGUUCAGACCAACCAUUGGGUUGAUUUGGGGUCUUGGUUAUUUUUGUUUAAAUAAAUUGCAAAGAAAAAAAAAACUUGGUUUGGAUAAAUAAACUUAAGUUGUUUUUAAAAUAAGCUUUUAUUUGAUUUUUUCUAAAAAAAUUUAUAAAUUCAAUUUGUACAAUAUUAAUUAUAUUUAAUUGAAGUCUUAUUAAAGAUUUAAAAAAAAAUAGUUUUUAAAUUAAAGAUAAAUUAAAAAAAAUCAUAAAAUAUGAAAUUAAUAUUAUAAUAAAAUCAUAAAUUAUGAUUUUUAUUUAAAAUGAUACUAUUUUAAGAUAUGAUUGAUUUAUUUAUUUUGAUAAGAAUGAAUAAUACUAAUUUUAAAAUAAUAAAAGGGUGAUAUAGUUUAUUUGAAAUAAAUUUAAAAAUAAAUAAAAUUUAUUUUUUUAAUACGUAAAUAAGCGAAGUUUUUCAUUAUAUCUACACCUGAGAAUUUAAUCAAGGAUAUAGUAUUUUGAACUAGUUUUGAUUCAUUCCUAUAAUCUUCAUUCAGUCAUUAUGGUUUAGACAAUUGAUAAUUAAUCUGUUGGCAUAAUUGAUUCUGCAAAACAGUAUCCUGAAUUUAGUAUCGAGGGAGGCAGAAACACAGCGAGAGAGAGAGAGAGAGAGAGAGAGAGAGAGAGAGAGAGAGAGAGAUGAUGCUUAACAAUUAACAGACUGCAGACUGCUUUAUUGUAGUAAUAUGCCCAAAGUCCACACCAGAAGAGUUACAACCAGACCCUCUUAUUAUACCAUGUUUGUUACAAUGAGGGAAUUGAACAUCAUGAAUCGUCAUUCAAGCAAGGAAAUCAAAGGUUGACAGCUUAUUCUUUUUCUAUAUUUCCCCACUAGAAUCGUGCUUGAAGGUAUUCAACCACCCUCUUGUCCAACUGGAAGGCCCUUGCCAGGAAAUCAGGAUUGAUGGGUGGAUUUGAUCCAAACAUUGAACUGGCUAUGGUGAUUACACCUGGAUUUUGGCUGUUAAAAGCGGCAAUGGCUACUGCAUUAGUGUGCCCAAUGUUGACUUGGAAGUGAAUGAGACUGAAAGGGAACACAAAAACAUCCCCCUUGUUCAGGACUUUGCUAAUGAAGCGGUGUUCAGGGUUGGAUGUGAUAAAGCCAACAAAGAGUGUUCCCUCCAAGACAAUGAAGACCUCACUGGCACGAGGGUGAAAGUGAGGAGGGUUUUGACCAUUAGGUUCAUAAUCGAUACGAGCCACUGACACCCCAAGAGUGUUUUCUCCUGGUAAUUGAUCAACAUUUAUAAGAUUGACAAUUGAGCCCACAUAAUUUGAUGUGUUUCCUGGAAUAUUCAGCCCUUGAUACAAGAAAUCCUCGGCCACGGUCAGGUUUGGGUUCUUGCAGAACUUCCCAUUUACAAAUACUGCAUGAAGAAGGAAAAAAGAAAAGAUAUAUCAUUAGUAUCAAACCAUACUCACCAUAUCAAUAAAAAGAGAAGUACUGAAAAUAGCUAUAAGAUCAUUGGUUACUAUAGAAAUACCAGCAUUAUUGGGCUCAUCAACGGCAACACAGGUGUCUUCCAGUGGGCUUGGAUCAUAGGCAGAGGCAAGAAAGGAAGCCAAUGCCAUGAAGGCCACGGUUACCAGGAAACUAACGCCUCUCUUCAUUGUUAGAGUACUGCCUCCAACAAUCACAAUCUUUAUCUUUAGGCGGGGAUAAGAAAUUUAGCAUGGAAAAGAUGUUAAUUUAUAGACCAGAGUCGAUGAGUUAGUCUUUGCAUAAACUCACCAAGUCUUCAAUGGGAAGUUUUUUCUUCUUUCUUUUUUCACUUUCGAGGACAAGCGGUUGCACCAAUACAUGUUGAUUUACGUAGGAUUAGUCAGUAAACAGAUCUUAACCAGAAUAUAAAGCAAUGUACAAUCAGGUGGAGGCAGGUCCAAUUUAAUAUCAAUCUGCAUGAUCCAAACGUUUACAUUGUUUCAACAUUUUUGUAUUAUGGUUUUUAUGAACUGUGUUUUUUUGAGUUGUAAGGAAGAAAAACUUAGGUUUAAAGUUCUAGCAUAGAAGAAAAAACCUGUAGAUUAAUUGAUUUUUUAAUCUGAACCAAACACAUGAUCAACUCCAUAAAAACAAGUGGAAAACAAGAAAAAAUGAAUGAUUUUUAAUAUGUAUUUGUGUGAGAAUGAUAGGUAUAGAUUUUUUUUUGAGAUAUACUGCCACAUAAUCUUCAUCCCUUCUAAAAAACGAGAGAGAAAAAAAAAAGAAUGAUUUUUCUGUUUGUAUCUAAGUGAGAAUGAGAUAUAGAAUUUCACUCCAGACGCAUUAAUUUUAUCUCAUACUGCCAUGCUAGACCAAAUCAGCCCUUAACGACAACCACACUGUUUUGUGGGGGGGGGGUUACUUUUGUUCCAUUAUAUUCACAGAAUCUUCAAAUCCAUUCUUUGGAUUAAUCUGCAUGAGGAAAUCUGUUACUGUUAGUGACGGAAACCUGUUAUUGUUAGUACCGGAGUCAACUGUUUGACUGGGUGGGUUCCAAUCAGAUCCUAAGGAAUGGGUCCAAAGGUCAUCCAUUAGAGUUAAUGGAAUUCAUUGUUGUUCUUGUGCCUUGAUGUGUGAGCCCAACACGCACAGAUGCAACUAGGGAUGGCAACGGGGCGGGUUUUUUCGGGUACCCGCCCUGCCCCGCCCCUAAUGGGAUGGGGUUGAAAUUUAAUAAAUGGGUUUUUAACGGGUAUAAGAUUUUUUUUUUUAAACCCGGGGCGGGUUCGGGUAUUGCCCCAUCCCGCCCCGCCCCGCCCCGCCCCGCCCCGCCCCGCCCCGUUUACAUAUAAAAUCAAUUUUAAAAUUUAAUUUAAUUUAAUUUAAAUUUUAAAAUUAAUUUUAUUUUACUAUUUUUAAUAUAUAGAUAAUAAAAAAAAAUUAAUAAAAUAAAUUAUAAAAAAUAUAAUAAUUUUAUUAUUUAUAAAUAUAUUUAUUUUAAUGUAAUUAAAAAUUUUAAAAGCAAUUUUUUUUUUUUUUAAAAAGGAGGCUAAACAGGGCUGGGCGGGGCGGGUUUGGGAAUUUCCCAUACCUGCCCCGCCCCGCCCCGCCCUGCCCCGUUUAAUUUUUUAAACGGGACGGGGAUGGGAAUUAUUUUUAAUAAACGGGGCGGGGUUGGGAUGGGGGCGACCCGUCCCGAACCUGCCCCGUUGCCAUUCCUAGAUGCAACAGUAUGAGUCAUGUGCAGGUAGAUUUGAAUAGACACAUCUUGGCAUCGGGAUGGCUUGAGCAAGGUGUAGUCUCCUACAAUAGGAAGCAUGGUGAACUGAUGCAUCACAUGAGCAAGACUCCUAUUGCAUGAGACAUACUCCUAUCACAUGAGACUUCUAGUCAAAGUGGGAGAUUGAGACCUAAUAUUGCAGGAAGAGAAAGGGACUCUUGACAUGAGAAGACUCCUAAUCGGGAUAGAAAACUAAAUCUUCAUGCAUAAGGAGAUAGAGAGAUGUGGCAUGAGAGUUUUAGAUUCAGUAGGACUUGGAGUCCUACUCAAAUUUGUCAUCUGUUAAGCUUGAGUCGGACGCAAACUAGGACUCAAAAGUUAGUCUCCUAGUAGGAUUAGGAUGGCUUGGUGCAACCUUCAUAAAAGGAGGGCGUGACCCAAUAGGAUGCUCCAAAAAUGGUACCUUACGUGAUAGGAAGGCCCCUUCAAAAGUCAUAUUGCUUGUACCACCAAGACACCACCACUAAGUAUUUGUCCAUAUCUUAAUCCAUGUGUGCAUGGAGAUGAACAUAAAUAUAUAUAGAAAAGAUAAAUAUUAGAAGACAAGUCUCCACAAAGAGACAAAAAUAUAGAAGGCUUCGGUCAACCAAUCCCGCUAUGCGUGGCAAAUGUUUCAGGGGACUGCGUAGGAUUGAACAGCCUUUGCUAGAGGGAAGAUCAAUCUAUGGGCGUGAAUAAAGAGAGAACUGGAGAAGUAUUGGAACAGGCGGGUCACCUCAGUUGACCAGGAAACAUGGCAUUAGUCAACGCAAACCUUGGCUUUCGAUCUCUACAUCGGUGCUGAAUAUUGUUGAACGGAAACACGUGGCCAGCUACAUUGGUUCUAGACAACAAAGGCUGCAACAAUUAACCUGAAAUUGAAAAUUUUGAAAUUUUUUUGAAAACAUAACAUCUUAAGAUGACUGGUAACCUUCUCUUAUUGGUUGGCUCUAAAUCAAAACCACUAUACAUGCAUUGUUCAAUGUAUAUAUGAUGUAGCAUUUUUGUGUUUUGUCUUUUACAAGUUGUAUAUAUUGGAAAAUUCUGACACCAUACAAAAACAUAGAAAAGCCACAAAUACCGCAACUUGCAUAUUUUCAUUUUAUGGCUGAAACUUUUCAAUGAAUCAUUAUCUUUAUUUCAAACUUUAAAAUUUUGAAAACAUAACAUCUUAAGAUGACUCGUAACCUUCUCUUAUUGGUUGGCUCUAAAUCAAAACCACUAUACAUGCAUUGUUCAAUGUAUAUAUGAUGUAGUAUUUUUGUGUUUUGUCUUUUACAAGUUUUAUAAAUUGGAAAAUUCUGACACCAUACAAAAACAUAGAAAAGCCACAAAUACCGCAACUUGCAUAUUUUUAUUUUAUUUUAAUUAUUUAUAGUUGAUUAGGUUUAUGGUAUGCCAUGUUGGAUGCUUUCAGAUUUUACAGAUCUAAGUUACUUUUAUUUUGAGAACGAAUAUUCCAUAAUUCAACCUUUUCCUUUUCUUGUUGGUAAUCAUGAUACAUAAAAUCUAGGAAUGCUAAACACAUCUUUUUUAAAAGUACUAUAUUGUAUUACAAUAGGAAAUGGCUUUUAUCAAAAGAGAAAUAUCCUUAAAUUGAUUAGGCCUAGCUCAUACUUUCAUCAACCAUAUGAUGACAUGAAAAAAAUCAAAGAAGAAAUAUGGGAAAUGGUACGAAAAGAGAUGGGUAGUAAUAACAUGAGACAACAACUUGUUUUACAACUAGUUGUAGCAGAAAAACCAAUGUUUAAAAUGAUAGAAGAGCCCCAACCACCAGAACCACCACUGAAACACAAGGUAUGCAUUUACUUACUAAUAAUACAAGAUUAAUAUAAGUGACAUAAAGCCUAUGUAAAUGAUAUUAUUUGUUGUAUUGAAGGUAAUUAAAUGUAAAUUAGCAGUGGAAAGAAAAGAAAAUGUUGUUCCAACUGGUACACUAAUAGAAGAAAAAGGAUCGAAUAGGUUGGUUGUAAUAAAUGCUGCACACAAGCCAGAUGCUAGACUCCCAUUUCCAAAUCCAUAUGAGAUUAUCAAUGUUGGGGAUGCUAUUGGCUUUGAGCUUGACUGGCCAACAAGCCUUGUCAUACUUGAAACUGAACAUCCUUAGGUAUGUCAUUUUAUGCCUAUAGUAAAUUUGAUUGUAACUUGGUAUUUUAUUGUUUAGGAGUAUAUAUAUCUAACAUUCCUUCCUUUUUCAUAGGUGUUGGAUAAAGGAAAGAAGAAGAUAGUGAAGACACCAAUUUUUUGAAAAUCUAAGCCUCAAAAUCAUUCGGUCAUUAAAAAUUUUCAAAAAUUUGUGGAUGGUUGUCUUGGUAAUGACAAGACAUACCCAAUACAGCUCCCCAUUUCACUUUUUGGUGUCGAAUUUCAAACAUAUAUAUCUAGAGAGGAUUGUGAAUACAUUAUUUCAUCUUUAGAGGUGUCAUCAAACUGCAUCUCCUUCUAUUUAUGGUGUGCACCUUUUAUUUUCAUUUGUUUUUAUUUUUUUAAAUAUGAGUUGCCCAUGUUGAACGAAAUUGGAUAUGACUAAUGAUAAUUUUCUUUUGGUGUUUUGAUACAAUAAUAGGCACAUGCAUGAUCAACUACAUAUUGCCAAAAAGGAAUCACAAUUUAUAUUUGUUAAUCCUUUUACAAUAUCACGAGCAAGCCUUAGUACUCAUCAAACAGAGAAAAGAGCACAAUUGUUGUCAAAACGCUUAAUGGAGUGCCAAGAUGCUAAAUAUGUUUUCAUACCUUACAACCCUGAGUAAGUGACAAAUAUUAUACUUUAAUUUGAGGUUUUAUGAUUGAUUUAUAUUUCUAAUUAGACGCUACUUUUGUUUUUAAUGUUUUAGCUUUCAUUGGGUCUUGGUGGUGAUUGAGCCAAGGAAAAUGAUAGUCCACUAUCUUGACCCUAUGCAUCACAAACUAUUUGAGGACUUAAAGAAUAUCGUAAACAUGUAAGUUCUUCCUAUUAUUUUUCAUAGUAUUAUUUUUUUUUUUUUAUAAAAAAUACAUUCAUCUCAAACACAUUGAACUUAUUUACAUAGGGCACUUCGAAUAUCUACAAAGAAAACAUCUAAAAGGGAGCCAUCUUGGCAACUAGUGCAGGUGACAUCCAAAAAAUUUUCUUUACACAUUAGCUUAUGCAUUUGCACCAUUUAUAUAUAUGAGUACUAAUGUUAUUUUAUAAUUGAUCGAUUAGUGUCCAAGACAAGAAGGAGGGUUCGAAUGUGGCUACUUUGUUAUGAGAUUCAUAAAAGAGAUAAUUUUUUAUCCUACAAUUAUUGCUUCAAAGGUAUUACAAAUUUAAUGAAUUGUACAUAGUUUUAGGCUUCCAAAUGUUAUGCAUUUUAAUGUUAUUUUCUUAUUUGAUUUCAGUUUGGUGAUAAAAAAACAUAUUCUCAAGUAGAAUUCGAUGAAAUUAGAGAAAAAUGGGCUACUUUUGUGCUACAACUAAUCAUGAAUCAUGUUGAUGCAUCAUGAUCACCAUGCAUGGUGAGUCCUUUAGCUACUACAUGAAUUUUUCCAUAGGUUCUUUGAAUAAUGUUUCUAUUUGAAAAAAAAAAAGAAAAAAAAAUAGUUCUUAGAUUUUUUUCAUUUAUGAUAACAUCGAUCCAUGUUUAUUUUCUUCAAUAAAAAUCUAUAAAACUCAUUAAACUAUGAAAUGCAAGUAUACACUUUUGGGAUGGUGGAAUGGAGAAUAAAAAGAAAGAAGAAGGCAACAAGAUUUUGGGUUUUUAAAUGCAACUCUUAUGUCAUACGUUGUAGGACAUAAAUGUUAAUUUAAUUAGUACUGAGAAAUUUAGAUUUUUAGAUGGGACUUUUAUGUCAUUUUAUAGUUAGCCGGUUUUAUGCUUAUGAAUUGGAGGUAUACAUGAAUCUUGGGAUCUUUAACAUUUCUAAAUCAUGUUUUGGUAUGUAUUCACUCUUCUUUUUUUAGUUUUGAUGGGUUUGAUAUGUUGGAUGUACUAUCUUUUUGUGAACAUUUGAUAUACAAAUAUUAUUAGAUGAUCAAUGUAUUAUGAGUUAUUCUAGAAACAUUACAGAAAAAUGAGUUAAAUAUAAUAUUAUUGUUAUAUUUAUGGACAAAAAAUAAAUAGGUUAAUCUUACUUAUUAAUUCAUAAGCAUUACAAAAAUUUAUAACUAAAAGCAAUCAUAUCUUCCACAAUAAUUUACAAUGAUGUGACACCAUUACUCAAAGGUGAUGCAUUUAAUAUGACAUUAUAAUUCAAAGAUGAUGCAUUUAAUGCGAUACCCUCUCAUCACUAGAAAUAUAUGGUGUCACUUCCGAAUGGGUCACCAUUUAUCUACUUUGGUGUCACUUCCAAAUACGUUACCAAUUGGUACCCUCUAUGGUAUCAGUGGAGAAGGUGACGCUAUGUUGUAGUGACACCCUAUGUUUAUGGUAACUCGUUAUAAAUGUCACCAUAUAUCUUUUUCCCUAUAGUGUAUAGCUCCAGUGAGGCUGUUCUCAGAGAAACAAAGGUAUGUCAAGUUUGUCAUUUGGCCUAGUACAGCAGGAAUGCUUCCAGUCAGAUUGUUAUCGUCCAAGUCUAUUGUCUCCAGGCUCCAAUAGCCUUGUAUGGAGGCUGGAAUAUUGCCUCCAAGCUUAUUACAACUCAUGUUUAUGAAUGUUAACUCAGAAAGCUCUCCAAUGGUAGCUGGGAUCCCUCCAUACAAGCUGUUGCCUUGCAAAGAGAGGGUGGUGAGAUGGGAUAGAUUGGAUAUGUAUGGUGAGAUAACUCCCUGUAAGCGCAUGUUUAUGAGCUUGAUUGACUCUAUUGAUAUUUUGUUGGUUGAGCAUGGAUUUAUGACUUAUAACGCACACGUGGAGGGUUGAAUUUCAUGAAAGAAAAUGAGGGUCAGAAAAAUAAUAAAUGGCAAGACAUUGAGCUUAUUGUGGGUAUGAUUGGGUACAAAUUCUUUUGUAUAUAUCUACUUGGGGUAUACAAUUGAAUAUUUAAUUUAGGAAGAUUCAAAAAAUUGUUUUCAAUGAAAUUCAAUAAUAAUAAUAAUAAUAAUAACAAUUGCCUGGAAAUUUAUUUAUUUAAUAAACAUUGUUUUGUCAUCAAAGUUAAUUUUUAAUAAAAUUAUCUAAAAAAAUGAAUUUUUAAAUAAAAUUCUAUUUCCUUAAUUAAAAUGGGCUAAAAAGUAAUUUUUGCAAAUUAAUGUCUUAAAUAACCUUUUCAUAAUAAUAGAAUGAGAAUCUUUUUAGCAAAUUGAACUUAUACAAAUCAUUUUCUUUUUGUAAAUAAAGUUUGUAAAAAAAUUAUUUUCUUUAUAAAUAAAAUCAAAUUGAAAUAUUUUUACAACUAAAAGAAUAUUUAGUUGAGCAAGUGAUGAACUAUUUUCUUGUUUAAGUAACCUUUUGUAAUGUUCCCCCAGCAUAAUGGUAGUACAAUAAGAGGGUUUAUUAUGUACUUCUUUCUAUAUGGACUUUGGGUAUAAUAAAAACAAUGCUUUCUCUUUCUCUCUCUCUCUCUCUCCCCCUCAGUCCACAGGUUUAGACCCUUAGCUUUACCCUGCACUAAGUCUUGAAAGCCAAAGAUUAUGCAGAAUCAAACUCUUAAAGUCUACAGCAUGAGUUGAGGAAAAAAGGAUGAGUAUUUAACGUAGUAGUUGAGGAAUGAUUCAAUGUUUGAAAUAUAAAAAAUGCAAUCCAUUGAACACUUAGCUGGCCUAUCUGCUUAUUAUUGUAUACAUAAAACAUAGACUAAUCCGAAGACUUCUAUGUGAUAACUUUAGAAUUUUCAUAUCCAAGGUUUUCACUUCUUUCUCAUCAGAAGACAAAGAUUGUAACUGUUGCAGAAAACCUAACAACCUAGUUUAUUUGUUAAGGUCCCUUUCUCUCAUAAAACAUAAAUAUAUUCACUAUCAAACACCAUAAUGAUAAUAAUAAUUAAUGAUCUUCUUUUUGCUGUAUAUACACUACUUUAGAGUUUGUUCAAUGUUUGGUUACCAAGAAAACACAAGGACUGAUCUGCUGCAUUAAAAGGUUAAUAUGUAGUUCUUCCAUUAGCUAGCCAUUUGGAACUAAGUCUUGUGGAGAACUUUUCAUAUUGGAGAUGGAUAUGAAAUUGGACCUGCCUCCACCUCAUUGAACUUCACUUUCAACAUAUGCAUUGAGAAUAUUUAAGUUAAGAUCAGUAUACUAACUAACCCUACAUAAAUUAACAUGUAUUGGUGAAAACACUUAUCCUUGUAAGUGAGAAAGCAAAAAAAGAAAAAAAAAAAAAGAAAAAAGAGAGAGACCUACCCAUUGAAGACUGUCUAUAAAUUGACAUGUUUCUCAUGCAAAAAUUUUCACCCCUCGCCUAAACGCAAAGAUUUGUAAUUGUUUGGAGACAGUACUCUAACAAUGGAGAAAGGUGUUAGUUUCCUAGUAACUGUGGCCCUCAUGGCAUUGGCUUCAUCUUUUGCCUCUGCCUCUGAUCCAAGCCCACUGCAGGACACUUGCGUUGCCAGACCCAAGAAUGCUGGUAUUUCUUUAGUAACCAACGAACUUGUCUCUAUUUUCACUAAUCUUUCCAAUUCAAUAUUGGGCACAUUAAUGCAGUAGCCAUUGCUGGUCUGAGCAGCCAAAAUCCAGGUGUAAUCACCAUAGCCAAUGCAGUGUUUGGAUCAAAUCCACCCAUCAAUCCCGAUUUCCUGGCAACGGCCUUCCAGUUGGACAAGAAGGUGGUUGAAUUCCUUCAAGCACGAUUCUAGUGGGGAAAUAGAGAAAAUGAAGAAGCUAUGAACCUUUGGUUUUCUUGCUUGAAUGACUAUUUGUGAUGUUCAAUUACCUCAUUACAAUAAGAGGGGUUUAUUACUUUAUUUUGUAGCUCUUUUGGUGUGGAUUUUGAUCCUGAUAUUAAAAUAAAGCAGUUUGUCUGUUAGGCAUCUUCUUCUGUCUCCAUCUCAAUAUUUGUCUUAAAAAAUCUCAUCUUGUGAAAAAACAACUGGAUAACAACUCUCAGUUGAUUGAUUAACCUGCAUGUGCAGAAUGUUUAUUAAGAAGGAAUACUUAGCUAGUUGUAAAACAGUACUACUGUUACUUCCAGCAUAAGUGUCAUGAAAAUUGUGAAGAAAGAAUGGAAAUGAAAACCCAGAAAUCUUAUGACAUCUACUGUAGACAAAUUAAUGUCUUAAAUAAUCUUUUCAUAAUAAUAGAAUGAGAAUCUUUUUAGCAAAUUGAACUUAUACAAAUCAUUUUCUUUUCGUAAAUAAAGUUUGUAAAGAAAUUAUUUUCUUUAUAAAUAAAAUCAAAUUAAAAUAUUUUUGUAAAUAAACUAAAAAUUAAUGUCCUAAGUAAAAAUCAUUUUUAUUGUCAAAUUGGAAUUUUUUGAAUAAAUUCUAUCCAAAUAGAAUUGAAUCAAAUCAUUUAUUGGAAAUAAAUAAAUAAAUUAAAAUCUUGAAAAAGUAAUAUUUAAAAUAUCUUUUUGUAAUCAAUUUAAUAAAUCGGUUUGUAUAAUUCUAAUGUCAUUUAUUUUGUACAUUUUUGUAAUUUAAUUUUAUCAUUAUUUUCUUGUAUAUUAAUUUGUCUCUUUAAUCUUGAUAUUCAUGAUUGAUCAAUUAACUGUCAUAAUUCAUUUCGUUUGUUUAGUAAAUAUUGUUAGUAUACAUGCUUAGAGGAGUAUUACGACUUAUUACUGUACCUUCCUGAUAGGCAACCUGACCCUUGAAUAUAGACUUGAUUUUACAAACAUGUCUUUUCUAAAUGAGGAGUUACACAAAAUUUUCUUUCUUAUUUUGUUCUCUUUUAAAAAAUAAAUUAAAAUAAGUGGCAACCCUAAUUUUUUUAUAAAAAAAAAAAAAAAAUCAAAUUUUCACAAUAAAAAUGAGUCUCACUGUCGAGUGGGAACACACGCAAAAAAUACGGGUCAACAUGUAUCCAAUUGAUUGGGGUCAAUGUCAAGAUGUGUGAUAAAGAUGCAAAUUUGAAUAUGAAUCCUGCCAUUGAUUGAAUCUUGAACUACCCGAUAGUGGUUGUAACAAGUGAGAUAAGUUGCUAAGGUUUGCGUUGAAAAGUUCAGCCAUGGAAAGUUACUAGUCAUCCAAAUAUGUAUAUAAAUCAAAGUGCACAUUCUAAAUCAAAGAAAUCAGCCUCCUUAAGCAAAAGACCUUACAAUUCUUAGAGUAUGUUUGGUAGUAAUUUUAGGAAGUGUUUUUAACUUUUUUAAUAAUUGAAAAAUAAGAAUUUUGAAGUAUUAAAAAAUGUUAGAAACACUUCCUAAAAUCACUAUCAAACGCACUUUUAAUGUAAUUUGCUCUAUCUACCACUUGAUGUGGAUGUUAAGAUUGAUAUCCUUGGUCAUUGCCUAUAAUCCUAUAUCUAUAAUUGCAAGAAGACAUACAUUGAAACAUGAAUACCCUUUCACUAUGUUUGGUUUAUGGAAAAUACUAAGAAAAGAAAAUGUUUUUCUUAUAUUUAGUUUUAUUAUGAAAAAUAAGAAAAAAUAAAAUAUAAUUAUAAUUAAUUAAAAUUUUAUGUAUUUUAAAAUUAUUUAAUAUUUAUAUAAUGAAGGAAAAUAAAUGAAACGAGCUUGAAAAAGUAUAUAAAAAUAAUUUAUUAAUUAUAACUUGUAUGCGACUAUUUUGUACUUUAAUCCCGUUUUUCUUUUAUCCUCUUGUAGGUACCUUGAUUUUAUAUAUUUGUAUCUUUAUUCAAUGAUUUAGAUUUCAUAUAUUUGUAUCUUUAAUUGAGAUUGCAAGAUCUGUACGGAUUCAGAUUAGGGAUGGCAACGCUAUAAGCUUAAGAUAAGUUACUCAUAUCCCAAUCCAUUAUAUUUAUUCGUAUAUGUUAUCAUCCCCACCAAAAAAAGAAAUUAAAUGGGAUGGGACGGGUAUAGGAAAUUCUCAUGCCUACCCCAUGCUAUCCCGUUUUUUAUUUAUUUAUUUUUCAAUUUUUAUUUCUAAAAUUUUAAGAAAAUUAAUAUUUUAAAUAUGUUAAAAAAAUUGAAAACUGAAAAAAGAAAUCAAUUAAAAGAACUUUUUAUUUAACAUUAUACAUAAUUAGGCUGAGGUAGGAUGAAACAAACUCAUACCCAAAAUCACCCCGAAUCAAUCUCGGGUUUUAAAAAAUUUCUCAAAUUCAAGAUGAGACAAAAUCAUAUCCAAAACUAUCUCGAAUCCAUCCUAGAUUUUAAAAAUUUUCUCAAAUUUAUCUAAACUCGUUUAUCAUUAUCUCAAAACGAGCCCAUUAAGGGUAGGACGAGUACUAAAUAAAAUUGGUAUAUUAUCAUCCCUAAUCAAGAUCCUAAAAUUUUUCUUUAUGAUAAUGAAAACAACAAUCAUAGUCGUCAUCUCUCUAUCAGUUUACUUGUUAGGUUUGAUCAAAUACACCUUAUGUGUUGCCUUUGGGCAACCUAGCUCUCUCAAUCAUUGUCUAAAGUUCGGGUGUUUGUUUAUUUUUUUAAUUCAUUUUGUCUUAAGUUUUUUAUUAUUAAAUAAAAUUUCUUUUUGUUACUUUAAACACCUCUAAUAAUUAUACUUUUUAUUUUUUAUAUUUAUAUUUAUCAAGUUUAUAACUGUAAAAUUUAUAAAAAUGUUAGUUUUUUGUUUUUAAAAAUAAUAAAAAGUGAUAUUUAAAGGGUCAAGUGGGCCAGCAUGAUGGCACGAUGGGUUGUUUCCUUAGGCCCACCACGACCCGCUCCUUUGGGCCAUGCCGGCCUGACUCGGUCUUUUGGCGCACUUGGCCACAGGCCAAAAUGGGUGGCUCGACCCAUUGGACACCUCUAGUAGUUACAUGUCUAGCAUCCAAACGUUAGACCAGAUGAGUUUUGUCAAACCCAACCCAUUCAUCCCCUUUGCCUCAUGUUGGCCACCCGGUUCGGACCAGCCUUGACAUGAACGGCAAGGUCCAAUGGAUUAGGUUGAUUUAGGGUCUCGAUUAUUUUUGUUUAAAUAAAUUGCAAAGAAAAAAAAAACUUGGUUUGGAUAAAUAAAUUUCAAUUGUUUUUAAAAUAGGUUUUUAUUUUAUUUUUUGUAAAAUUUUUUAUAAAUUCAAUUUAUACAAUAUUAAUUAUAUGUAAUUGAAGUCUUAUUAAAGAUUUUUUAAAAAAUAGUUUUUAAAUUAAAGAUAAAUUAAAAAAAAUCAUAAAAUAUGAAAUUAAUAUUAUAAUAAAAUCAUAAAUUAUGGUUUUUAUUUAAAAUGAUACUAUUUUAAGAUAUGAUUUAUUUAUUUUUAUAAGAAUGAAUAAUACUAAUUUUAAAAUAAUAAAAGGGUGAUAUAUUUUAUUUGAAAUAAAUUUAAAAAUAAAUAAAUUUUAUUUUUUUAAUACGUAAAUAAGUCAUGUUUUUCAUUAUAUCUACACCCGAGAAUUUAAACUUGACCCAAACUUCAACUAAAAAGACCUAUAUCCAACACAGUUAUUAGAGGUGUCCAAUGGGUCGUGUCGGGCCAACACAAUCCGAUGUUUAUCAGGCCAAUGCGUUGGCUCGACCCAUGCAAGCCAAAUAGGUGGCUUGACAUGGCCCAUAAGCCCAUGUGCUAAUCAUGUCGUGUUGUGCCAUGCCGGUGAGUCGUGCCCCAUGGGCACACACUUUAUUAAAAAUUUUAAUUAAUUUUUUUUAAUUCAUUUUGACUUAAGUUUUUUUAUUAUUAAAUAAAAUUUCUUUUUGUUACUUUAAACACCUCUAAUAAUUAUACUUUUUUAUUUUUUAUACACUUCUAAUAAUUAUACUUUUUUUUUAUAUUUAUAUUUAUCAAGUUUAUAACUGUAAAAUUUAUAAAAAUGUUAGUUUUUUGUUUUUAAAAAUAAUAAAAAGUGAUAUUUAAAGGGUUAAGUGGGCCAGCAUGAUGGCACGAUGGGUUGUUUCCUUAGGCCCACCACGACCCGCUCCUUUGGGCCAUGCCAGCUUGACUCGGUCUUUUGGCGCACUAGGCCACAGGCUAAAAUGGGUGGCUCGACCCAUUGGACACCUCUAGUAGUUACAUGUCUAGCAUCCAAACGUUAGACCGGGUGAGUUUUGUCAAACCCAACCCAUUCAUCCCCUUUGCUUCAUGUUGGCCACUCGGUUCAGACAUUGGGUUGAUUUGGGGUCUCGGUUCUUUUUGUUUAAAUAAAUUGCAAAGAAAAAAAAAACUUGGUUUGGAUAAAUAAACUUCAGUUGUGUUUAAAAUAAGUUUUUAUUUGAUUUUUUGUAAAAAAAAUUAUAAAUUCAAUUUAUACAAUAUUAAUUAUAUUUAAUUGAAGUCUUAUUAAAGAUUUUUUUAAAAAUAGUUUUUAAAUUAAAGAUAAAUUAAAAAAAUUCGUAAAAUAUGAAAUUAAUAUUAUAAUAAAAUCAUAAAUUAUGAUUUUUAUUUAAAAUGAUACUAUUUUAAGAUAUGAUUGAUUUAUUUAUUUAUUUAUUUUGAUAAGAAUGAAUAAUACUAAUUUUAAAAUAAUAACAGGGUGAUAUUUUAUUUGAAAUAAAUUUAAAAAUAAAUAAAAUUUAUUUUUUUUAAUACGUAAAUAAGUGAAGUUUUUCAUUAUAUCUACACCUGAGAAUUUAAUCAAGGAUAUAGUAUUUUGAACUAGUUUUGAGUCAUUCCUAUAAGCUUCAUUCAGUCAUUAUGGUUUAGACAAUUGAUAAUUAAUCUGUUGGCAUAAUUGAUUCUGCAAAACAGUAUCCUGAAUUUAGUAUCGAGGGAGGCAGAAACACAGCGAGAGAGAGAGAGAGAGAGAGAUGAUGCUUAACAAACAGACUGCAGACUGCUUUAUUGUAGUAAUAUGCCCAAAGUCCACACUAGAAGAGUUACAACCAGACCCUCUUAUUAUACCAUGUUUGUUACAAUGAGGGAAUUGAACAUCAUGAAUCGUCAUUCAAGCAAGGAAAUCAAAGGUUGACAGCUUAUUCUUUUUCUAUAUUUCCCCACUAGAAUCGUGCUUGAAGGUAUUCAACCACCCUCUUGUCCAACUGGAAGGCCCUUGCCAGGAAAUCAGGAUUGAUGGGUGGAUUUGAUCCAAACAUUGAACUGGCUAUGGUGAUUACACCUGGAUUUUGGCUGUUAAAAACGGCAAUGGCUACUGCAUUAGUGUGCCCAAUGUUGACUUGGAAGUGAAUGAGACUGAAAGGGAACACAAAAACAUCCCCCUUGUUCAGGACUUUGCUAAUGAAGCGGUGUUCAGGGUUGGAUGUGAUAAAGCCAACAAAGAGUUUUCCCUCCAAGACAAUGAAGAUCUCACUGGCACGAGGGUGAAAGUGAGGAGGGUUUUGACCAUUAGGUUCAUAAUCGAUACGAGACAGUGACACCCCAAGAGUGUUUUCUCCUGGUAAUUGAUCAACAUUUAUAAGAUUGACAAUUGAGCCCACAUAAUUUGAUGUGUUUCCUGGAAUAUUCAGCCCUUGAUACAAGAAAUCCUCGGCCACGGUCAG